rnacentral:rRNA from 1 species
CAGAGGGUGCAAACGUUGUUCGGAAUUACUGGGCGUAAAGCGCGUGUAGGCGGCACUGUUGGUCGGAUGUGAAAUCCCGCGGCUCAACCGUGGAAGUGCAUUCGAUACCGCAGAGCUAGAGUAUCGGAGAGGAAGGUGGAAUGCUUGGUGUAGAGGUGAAAUUCGUAGAUAUCAAGCGGAACACCGGUGGCGAAGGCGGCCUUCUGGACGAUUACUGACGCUGAGACGCGAAAGCGUGGGUAGCAAACAGGAUU